CUGCGGAGCUCAGCCCUGAGAGAGAGACACCCAGCCGGACACACAGCCGAGAUAAAGCUUCAGCUCUCCUGAGAGAGAGACACCCAGCCGGGAAAGCUCACGAUCCACCUUCACACCAGUCCAUGACCUUCAUCUCUGAGGAAGAAAGCGUGUUCUCUGCUGGACGUAGUGCCGGAAUAUCGGGCAGAACUGUCCCUCAAAAAGGAGACCUGCACCUUUUACUCUACCUUCUUACUACCAGGUCGUCUACAGAAUGGACUUUAAGAAGAACAAACCGGACAUCAGGCAUUAUUGUCAGCCUCUGAGGCAACAGCAAACGAUGAAGGAAGAAGAAGAAGAGCAAGACGUAGGAAAGGACACCACACAGCUGGUAGGUCAUAGAGACUCCACUUAUUGACCUGUUAGUGAGAAACUGUUGAGU
ensembl:lncRNA